GAUGAACGCUGGCGGCGUGCUUAACACAUGCAAGUCGAACGGAAAGGCCCAAGCUUGCUUGGGUACUCGAGUGGCGAACGGGUGAGUAACACGUGGGUGAUCUGCCCUGCACUUCGGGGUAAGCCUGGGAAACUGGGUCUAAUACCGGAUAGGACGAUGGUUUGGAUGCCAUUGUGGAAAGUUUUUUCGGUGUGGGAUGAGCUCGCGGCCUAUCAGCUUGUUGGUGGGGUAAUGGCCUACCAAGGCGUCGACGGGUAGCCGGCCUGAGAGGGUGUACGGCCACAUUGGGACUGAGAUACGGCCCAGACUCCUACGGGAGGCAGCAGUGGGGAAUAUUGCACAAUGGGCGCAAGCCUGAUGCAGCGACGCCGCGUGGGGGAUGACGGCCUUCGGGUUGUAAACUCCUUUCGCUAGGGACGAAGCGUUUUUGUGACGGUACCUGGAGAAGAAGCACCGGCUAACUACGUG
rnacentral:rRNA from 1 species